rnacentral:rRNA from 1 species
AGCAGCCGCGGUAAUUCCAGCUCCAAUAGCGUAUAUUAAAGUUGUUGCAGUUAAAAAGCUCGUAGUUGAAUUUCGGGAUCAGUACGCUGGUCAUGCCUUUGGUAUGCACUGGUGUCACUGGUUUCUCCCUUCUGAAGAUCCGUGAUGUCAUUAAUUUGGUGUCGCGGGGAAUCAGGACUGUUACUUUGAAAAAAUUGAGUGUUUAAAGCAGGCUCACGCUUGAAUACAUUAGCAUGGAAUAAUGAAAUAGGACGUUUGACCCUAUUUUGUUGGUUUCUAGGAUCGACGUAAUGAUUAAUAGGGAUAGUUGGGGGCAUUAGUAUUCAAUUGUCAGAGGUGAAAUUCUUGGAUUUAUGAAGACUAACUACUGCGAAAGCAUUUGCCAAGGAUGUUUUCAUUAAUCAAGAACGAAAGUUAGGGAUCGAAGACGAUCAGAUACCGUCGUAGUCUUAACCAUAAACUAUGCCGACUAGGGAUCGGAUGAUGUUAAUUUUAUAAUGACUCAUUC